GAUGAACGCUGGCGGCGUGCCUAAUACAUGCAAGUCGAGCGAACAGACGAGGAGCUUGCUCCUUUGACGUUAGCGGCGGACGGGUGAGUAACACGUAGGUAACCUACCUAUAAGACUGGGAUAACUUCGGGAAACCGGAGCUAAUACCGGAUAAUAUUUCGAACCGCAUGGUUCGAUAGUGAAAGAUGGCUUUGCUAUCACUUAUAGAUGGACCUGCGCCGUAUUAGCUAGUUGAUAAGGUAACGGCUUACCAAGGCAACGAUACGUAGCCGACCUGAGAGGGUGAUCGGCCACACUGGAACUGAGACACGGUCCAGACUCCUACGGGAGGCAGCAGUAGGGAAUCUUCCGCAAUGGGCGAAAGCCUGACGGAGCAACGCCGCGUGAGUGAUGAAGGUCUUCGGAUCGUAAAACUCUGUUAUUAGGGAAGAACAAACGUGUAAGUAACUGUGCACGUCUUGACGGUACCUAAUCAGAAAGCCACGGCUAACUACGUG
rnacentral:rRNA from 1 species